rnacentral:rRNA from 1 species
CCCGCACAAGCGGAGGAACAUGUGGUUAAUUCGAUGAUACGCGAAGAACCUUACCGGGGUUUGACAUGCAGGUGAUCGCCGUUGAAAGACGGUUUCCUCUUCGGAGGCACCUGCACAGGUGCUGCAUGGCUGUCGUCAGCUCGUGUCGUGAGAUGUUGGGUUAAGUCCCGCAACGAGCGCAACCCUUGUCAUUAGUUGCUACAUUCAGUUGGGCACUCUAAUGAGACUGCCGGUGACAAGCCGGAGGAAGGUGGGGAUGACGUCAAGUCCUCAUGGCCCUUAUAGGUGGGGCUACACACGUCAUACAAUGGCUGGUACAAAGGGUUGCCAACCCGCGAGGGGGAGCUAAUCCCAUAAAGCCAGUCGUAGUCCGGAUCGUAGUCUGCAACUCGACUACGUGAAGUCGGAAUCGCUAGUAAUCGUGGAUCAGAAUGUCACGGUGAAUACGUUCCCGGGUCUU